rnacentral:lncRNA from 1 species
AGUAAAAGAGAUUCACACUAAUUUCACACCCAUUCAUUAUAGAGAGAGAAACCGCCCCAUUCAUAUUCAGCAACAUAAACCCAUUCUUUCAAUUAAUGAAACAAGCAUUUAAGCCCUUUAGCCUUUCACUUAUGGAACGGUGCAGAUACUCCCAUUUCUCUCACACGUGCUUAUCUUCAGGUAGCCAUAAGCCAUGGCAGGUUGUACUCAAAGGUAAUAUCUUUGCAUGGAAAAAUACAUGUUGGUUGCUGAUACUAUUUUGAGAUCAAGUAAAUAAUUGGUUCAAGCUUGCAUGUUUAGAUUAAUGACAUUGGGAUUGUUUGAUGCACAUCAUUGCUGUAUUUGAAGUACCAAUUGGAUGGUUUUUUGUAAUUUUUUCUUCUUUUUUCAAAAGUAAAGUUUUCAAUUUUAUAGAUCUACAUUAUUGGGACAAAAUCGUGUAAAUCUUCUAACAAUGGUAGGUACCAAUUUUAAUUAUGGCAAUGGAUAGGUACCUCUUAUCAGGUAUGAAUUUGUCUAUAUUCUAAGCUCAAUUGUCAAUUUGAAUUAUUAAAUUUAGAUUUAUAUGGUGCAAAAACCUUUGGUUAUUGUUGUAGAUAACUUUGGAGCUAAAUAGAGAUGAUGCAUCUAUCUUCCACAAGGAUUUUUUUUUUUUUUUGGAUGAACUGCUAUUGAAAGUAUCGACUACUUUUUUUUUGGUUAUUUAGAGGGAAAAACGAGUAUUCAUUGUUAUUUGUCAAGGAUAUGCAAUUGCUUUUAAUAGCAUCAAAGUAAAUUUUAAUCAAUGACAUAUUCAAUUUUAUGAUGACAACAUAAUAAAAUUUAGAUUUGUAUAUUAUUAAUAUGACAAACUUUAUGAUGUUAUUUCUUAUGUCAUGCUCACUGCUAAUUAUAAACUCCCUCCGUUUCAAAAUACAUGUCCAUUUUGGAGAAAUUGCACUAACCAAGAAACCAAAUAAAUUUUGUUAUUUUUUAUGAAAAUAUGUGUGUGUUUUCUAUAAUACCCUUAAUCAUUUAUUAUUUCAUUUUAUUUUUUUCUCUCUCUACAAUAAAUAUGCAAGGGUAUUAUUGACAAGACAAUAAUUAAUGUUGUAUUGAAACUUGAAAGUGACAAGUAUUGUGAAACAAAAUUAUUCUCUAAAAUGGACAAGUAUUAUGAAACGGAGGGAGUAUUACUUAUGCUCAUGUAACAUGAUGCAGCUUUAAUUGGUAGUUGAUAUUAUAUCAUAUAUGAAAAAGUCAAAGCAAAGACAUUCCUUUUCUUGAUAAUGCUUACAACUUGGUAUAUGAACUUUGUCUUCUAUUGAGACAUUAAACAAUGACAUUCACGUUAAAGCAUUGCCUUGAUUUUCAUAUACCAUAUUUGUGUUUGUCUGUAGAGAAAAAUCCAUUGACAAUGACAUAUCAAUGCUUUGGCAAAGCUUUAAUUUUGUCCCAUAGUGUAUUGGCCAAAAAUGCUUUGACAAUGACAUAUCAAUGCUUUGGCAAAGCUUUAAUUUUGUCCCAUAGUGUAUAGGCCAAAAAUGUGUUUCAUUUUUCCAACACAAUAUUUCAUCUGUCCUUAAUCAAACACAAACCUAUCCAUUUAAAAAAUCAGCAAUGCAACAUUCUUCUCUAACAUAAAUUUCUUCAACAAUGGAACCAAAUGAUCCAUCAAGUAAAGGGAUGAAGAAAAAAUUAACAGUUGCACAAAGCAAUUUUAUCAACAAAGGUAUGUCCAAAUGUUCUUCACCAUGUCAAAUAUAUAUUACUUGGGUAAUGAAAUGGAUAAUAUUAUUUCCAAUCAUGAUAGUUAUUUUAUUACCAUUGUAGAGAAUGUGUUUUGCACUAAAUCUUCAAUGAAACAAGUUAACAAGUUAUCCAGGGAGCCUUUUAGAAGUCCUCUUUCUCCAUUGAUGAAUGGUAAUAUGAUAUAUCUACUUAUUAACUUUUGUAUAAUUUUUAAUUUUAUCAUAUCACAUCCCACCAUAAAACAAACCCAAUUGUUGUUAGUUUAUGUUAGUACCACAAAGAUUUGAAGUUUGCAAUUAGGUUCAUUGAUUAAUAUUACAUUAAUUUGUAUGCAUCAUUCUCCAACUCAAUCAAUAAGUCCUCCAUCCAUUGGUAAAUCUGAUUGCUCACUUGCAAGGAUGAAGAGAAAACAUGCAAUGUUGCAAAGAGGGUCUAAAGAAAAAAGAAUUGAUAAAGGUAUGUUUAGUAUUGAAUGUUUAUAAUUUAUUUUACAUUUUCAUGUAUGUUUAAUACAUUACCGAAGGAAUUUACCAAGAUGAAAGUAUGCUUCAUACAUUACAUUGCAGAGAAUGAGGAUUCUGACUAUGCUUUAAGAUAUCGUAACAAGAGACUAUCAAAGGAGGCACAAAAGAAUCCUAUCUCACCAUUGAUAAAUGGUACUUAUAUAGCAUGUGAUUUUGCCUACAAAAUUUAAUAGUCUUCCAAGUUGAAGUAUGGCCAAACCAAUUCAAAGGUUUUUUUUUUUGUUUUAUAAUUAUUGUUGCUACAAUGUAGAUUCAAGUGAGGCAUUGUCAUCUAUAGAGCAAGCAAAUGAUUCAAAAUCAGAAACGAGGAGAUCAUCUGAAUCAAUAAUUAACCCGUCUCUAACUUCUAUGAAUUCAUGUGAGUUAUUUAUAUGUCUGAAUCAAUAUUCUUAAUCUGCAAGAUUGGACUCACACUUACAUAUUUUAAUCAUUGACAUACUAUGAUAAUAUUUUAACAGUUCCAUCAACACUAAGUCAUACCAUUUUGUGCAAGAGGAAGGUGUCAUCUCAACCAAUAACCUUACAAAGAAGUCCGCUAUCCAACAUUACGAACAUUGAAUAUGUUCCUUCUGGCAGUAAGACAUUAAAUUAUUUUUAUGCUUAUAAAUUAGUGCAUCUAACUUACUUGGGCCAUAUCAUUAAUCUGUUGACAUCAUCAACAUACACUGAUGCAAUAUGUAGUGCCGCUAGUUCUAAAUACAACCAAAAAGGGACAAAAAACUAGAGUUCAAAAGAGAAGGAGAUUUAAAGAGCUUCCUAUUACAAGACUUAAUUUUGAUUCAUUAUUUGAAGAAGGUGGUCCAUCAUCAAACUCAUCAGCCAAUGGUAAUUGUUGAAUAUUCAACUUUCUAUAUUACACAAAUAAUAGUUAAAUUAAUACAUUGCCUAACAUGUGUUAAUUAAGAAAAUUGUAAUUUGGAUGCCUUCAAAGUAGAUAUAUAUGAUGAUGCUGAAAUCAAAGGUUCGCCCAUAAUCUUUAUUAGUAUAUAUACAUAUAGUUUAACUCCUUAAUGAUAUUUUCGAUAUCUAAUAUAUAUAUAUAUAUAUAUAUAUAUAUAUAUAUAUAUAGACACACACACACACACAAAAACCUCCAUAGGAACUCUUUAUUUUGGAUCUCCAGAUGUCACAUGCAAAUGGUGCAAGGCUAAACUUUGGAUAGAAGAGAGGGCAAUAAGUCUAAACCACCGACCAUAGACUCUGAGUUUUCUCUAUGUUGUCAAAAGGGAUAUGUUGAUAUUCCAUACGUAGAGGAACCACCUAAACUACUGUUAUUAUUGAUUGAUGGAAGUGAACCUAGAAGCAAGCAUUACCAAGCCAACAUCAGAGCAUACAACAGUAUGUUUGCCUUUACAUCCCUUGGAGGCAAAGUGUUUACAAAGCUCAACAAUGGAAAUGGACCGCCUCAAUUUAUCUUAAGUGGAUAGAAUUAUCAUAGAAUUGAAAGUCUACUGCCUGAGCCUGGAAAUGCUCCAAAGUUUGCUCAACUAUACAUCUAUGACACUCAGAAUGAAAUUCAAAAUAGAACAAGAGUUUUUGAGUAUGUAAAGUGUUAACUUUAUCAUUAAUUGUUGAUUGUUUUUAUAUAUGAGGCUAUUGUUGAUCAAUUUAUUUAUAUGAUAUAUUAACUUUGGUUGCAGUGCAAGCGAUGUCGAUGGUGGGUUUGAUCUCUCAUUGGUGGAAGAUCUAAAAAACAUGUUGGACGAGUGUAACUCUCUGUGCAAAAGUUUUAGAAAGAUCCGUGAUAUGGUUGAACAGGGUCCACCUCCUAAGAUGGCUUUAAGAUUGUUUCGAAAGACGGAAAAAGACUCAAGGAUGCACAAUCUACCUACUGUAGAUGAAGUUGCUGGGUUGAUAAUAGGUGAUUAUUAUGAGUCCGAGCAGGUAAGAGAUAUUAUAGUGGAUGAUGUACACAAAGGCUUAAGAAGGAUACAUGAGACACAUCCCUUAUACUUGCCACUUUAGUAUCCUUUAGUAUUUCCUAAGGGUGAUUAUGGUUAUGAGGAAGAUAUCCCUUAUAGAGAAUUUGAAGAUGAAAAUAGAAAAUCAAGAGGUUCAAGGGAUAGAGUUGCUAUCAGAGAAUAUAUUGCCUAUCGAAUUUAAGAUAGGGAUUGCGAGUUUGGAAACAUUGUUUAUGGAAGAAGAUUGCUUCAGCAGUUUUCCGUUGAUAGUUACACAAUGAUUGAAGCUCAAAGGCUAUCUUAUAUUCGGAAUAACUAGGGAAAUAUUCGUUCAGAUUUGUUGAAUGGAUUACAAGAAGCAGUUGAGAUGGGAGACAAUGACCCGCGGAAAGCUGGACAGCGUGUCAUACUUCCCGAUUCCUUUACAAGUUCACCAAGGUACAUGUUUAAUAACUGUCAAGAUGCAAUGGCAAUUUGCAAGAGAUUUGGCUACCCGGACCUAUUCAUCGCAGUAACUUGCAACCAAAAUUGGAAAGAAAUCAAGGAAUUUGUUACAGAGAGAGGCCUUAGUGCAUCUGACAGGCCCGAUAUUAUUUGUAGAGUUUUUAAGAUGAAGCUUGAUCAAAUGAUGGCAGACUUUAAGAAGGAUGAAAUGUUUGGCAAAGUUACAGCAGGUUUGUAUAGAAUUUAGUAUGUUAAAUAAAAGUUUAAUUUCUUAUAAAUAAUACAUUGUACAAAUAUUAAUAUUUUCACAUUUCAUAGGUAUGUAUACUGUAGAAUUUCAAAAGAGGGGGCUACCACAUGCACACAUUCUUUUAUGGUUAGAAGGUGUCAACAAACUGCACACAACUAAGGAAAUAGAUAGGGUGAUAUCUGCAGAGAUUCCCCAUCCACAACUAUAUCCAAAGUUGCACUUGGUCGUUUCAACAUACAUGAUGCGUGGACCAUGUGGAGGUGUGAACUUGAACUCACCUUGCAUGAAGGGAAAAAGGUGCACAAAAUACUUUCCAAAGAAGUUUUUAGAUUCAACUUCCAUAGAUGAGGAUGGUUUUCCAGUCUAUAAAAGAAAAGACAAUGGUGUUAGUGUGAUAAAAAAAUGGAACUCCUUUGGAUAACAGGUAUGUUGUUCCUUACAAUCCAACCCUCUUGAUGAGAUAUCAAGGACAUGUUAAUACUGAAUAUUGCAACAAGUCAAAUGCAAUAAAGUAUCUAUUCAAAUAUGUCAACAAAGGUCCUGAUAGAGCAAACCUCCAUAUUAAAAAACAAGCAGGAGACAAAGAUGAAGAAGGCCCGAUUGAUGAAAUUAAGCGUUACUAUGAUUGUCGAUAUGUGUCACCAUGUGAAGCAUGUUGGAGAAUAUUCAUGUUUGAUAUACACGAGAAAUGGCCUUCUGUUAUGAGAUUAGCUUUACAUCUAGAGGGUCAGCAAUGUGUUAGGUACAAGGAAAACCAGAAGCUCCAAAAUGUUAUGAAUUAUCAUCAAUAGGUUCCAACUAUGUUUCUUGCUUGGUUUGUUGCAAACCAAGAGUAUAGUGAGGGUAGACAUCUAACAUAUGCUGAGUUUCCAUCUAAAUUUACUUAUUAUCCUGACAAGAGGAAAUGGCAUCCAAGGCAAAGAGGUUUUCAGAUUGGGAGGCUUUCUUACAUUCCUGUAGGCUCCGGUGAACUUUACUAUAUGCGGAUUUUGUUGACAUUUCAAAAGGGUUGUAAAGGGUUCAAUUGUAUUAAAACUGUUGAUGGCAAGCUGUAUGACACUUUUCAAGAUGCAUGUUAUGCGCUUGGGUUAUUGUCUGAUGACAAAGAGUUCAUUGAUGGAAUUUUCGAAGCUUCUAGAUCACAGAGUGGUCAAAUGCUCCGUGUUUUGUUUGUUAGACUUUUAAUCAUGAGUACAAUGCACAAGCCUGAUAAUGUAUGGAAAGCUACUUGGAAGUUAUUAGCUGAUGGAAUUCUCUAUGCAAGACGAAGGAUCCUCAAUAUUCCAGGUUUUUGUAAAUUCUUUCUACCUUACUCAACAUUGUACUUGAGAAAUAUUGCAUAUAAGUGGAAGUAUUCAGUACAUAUUAUUUACAUAAAUUUUAGGUAUAAUAUAAUGUUGUUAUUUUUUUUACAGAACAAGAACUGCUAAAUGUAGUGAUGAACACCACAUAAAUAAAAGGCAAAGUGUAUUAUAUAUUUUUCAACUUUAACAUCAUAACAUGUCUGAUACGGGAUCGUUAUAUAUGUCAACAUUUAGAACCAUAACUUUAUGUUGUUAUAUAAUAAAUGAUGCAGAUUUGCGCAUUCCUGAGAGUGAUUUGCAAAAUCUUUGCCUUAUUGAGAUAGAGAAGUUGCUGAUGUGUAAUGGGAGAUCAUUGAAAGAUCACAAAACUUUGCCUUACCUAGUGUUCGAUGAGUUACUGGCCCAACCAAAUAAAUUUAUUGCUGAUGAAUUGAACUAUGACAAAGAUCAGCAAGGUCAGCUACAUCAAUCCCUUCUUGAAAAACUCACUGAUGAGCAGUAUGAUGUUUAUGCUACAAUCAUGAAAUCUGUUGAGGGACAGGAUGGUCAGUUCUAUUUUUUGUAUGGAUAUGGUGGAACCGGAAAGACCUUUAUGUGGAAGACACUAUCAGCAGCCAUCAGGUCACAAGGCAAGAUUGUAAUUAAUGUUGCAUCGAGCGGAAUUGCAUCUUUAUUGUUGCCUGGAGGCAAGACUGCACAUUCUACCUUUUGUAUACCAUUAAAAAUAAACGAAAAAUCAACUUGCAAUGUGAAACAACAAGAUCCUAGAGCCAAGUUGCUUAGAGAAACAAGUCUUAUUAUAUGGGAUGAGGCUCCUAUGAUGCACAAAUUCUGUUUGAAGCAUUUGACCGUACUAUGCGUGAUAUAAUGAGAGUUGUAGAUGAGGAUAACUUGAACAAACCUUUUGGAGGAAAAGUUGUGAUUUUGGGUGGAGAUUUCAGGCAAAUUUUACCUAUCGUUAGGAAAGCCAAUCGACGUGAUAUAAUGAAGUCCUCUGUUAACUCUUCUAAUAUAUGGCAUAGCGGUAAGGUCUUAAAGCUCACAAAAAACACGAGGUUAAUUGGUGAUGGCACAAGUGAUAGUGCAAAUGAGAUCAGAGAUUUUGCAAAAUGGAUUUUGGGAAUUGGAAAUGGUGAUAUGGUUGCAGAUGAAGAUGGAGAGAGCAUCAUGGAUAUUCCAGAGGAUUUGUGCAUUCCUCCAUGCAACAAUCCUCUACAAACAUUGGUUGAUUUUGUUUAUCCAGGUAUUGUUAAUAACAUUGACAAUCGAAGGAUCUUUGAAGAGAAAGCGAUACUUGCUCCUACUCUUGAUUCUGUUGAACAAGUCAAUGAGUAUGUUUUGUCACUAAUUGAAGGGGAAUCAAGAGAGUACCUCAGUUCGGAUACACCUUGCAAAUCCGAUGAGGACUAUGAUAUUCAAGGGGAUUGGUGCACUACUGAAUUUCUGAAUGACAUAAAGUGUUCGGGAAUACCAAACCACAGGUUGAUUCUGAAGACCGGAGUUCCCAUCAUGUUGUUAAGAAACAUUGAUCAAGCAAAUGGCUUAUGUAAUGGAACACGACUACAAGUCAAUCACCUUGGAAAAAAUAUCAUUACUGCUACUGUCAUUACUGGCAAGGGUAUUGGCCAAAAAGUACUAAUCCCAAGGAUGGAUUUAGUUCCCACAGAUUCAGGAUUUCCAUUCAAAUUUUCAAGAAGACAAUUUCCGAUUUCAUUGUGCUUUGCAAUGACCAUAAACAAGAGUCAAGGACAAUCAUUGUCUAAGGUUGGAUUGUAUCUACCUCGACCUGUUUUCACACAUGGGCAGUUGUAUGUAGCUGUGUCUAGGGUAACCACAAAGAAAGGGUUGAAAAUGUUGAUUUUCGAUGAAGAAGGCAAUCCAUGCACCUCAACUCUCAAUGUUGUUUAUCCGGAGGUGUUUUCUAAUUUGUAGAAAUUAUCUUAUCAGGUAUGAACUUGUCUAUAUUCUAAGCUCAAUUGUCAAUUUGAAUUAUUGAAUUUAGAUUUAUAUGGUGCAAAAACCUUUGGUUAUUGUUGUAGAUAACUUUGGAGCUAAAUAGAGAUGAUGCAUCUAUCUUCCACAAGGAUU